GGCGGUUAGAUAAGUNUGAAGUUAAAGGCUGUGGCUUAACCAUAGUACGCUUUGGAAACUGUUUAACUUGAGNGCAGAAGGGGAGAGUGGAAUUCCAUGUGUAGCGGUGAAAUGCGUAGAUAUAUGGAGGAACACCGGUGGCGAAAGCGGCUCUCUGNUCUGUAACUGACGCUGAGGCUCGAAAGCGUGGGGAGCGAACAGGAUUAGAUACCNUGGUAGUCCACGCCGUAAACGAUGAGUGCUAGGUGUUAGGCCCUUUCCGGGGCUUAGUGCCGCAGCUAACGCAUUAAGCACUCCGCCUGGGGAGUACGACCGCAAGGUUGAAACUCAAAGGAAUUGACGGGGGCCCGCACAAGUGGUGGAGCAUGUGGUUUAAUUCGAAGCAACGCGAAGAACCUUACCAGGUCUUGACAUCCCGAUGCCCGCUCUAGAGAUAGAGUUUUACUUCGGUACAUCGGUGACAGGUGGUGCAUGGUUGUCGUCAGCUCGUGUCGUGAGAUGUUGGGUUAANNNNNNCAACGAGCGCAACCCUUAUUGUUAGUUGCCAUCACUCAGUUGGGCACUCUAGCGAGACUGCCGGUAAUAAACCGGAGGAAGGUGGGGAUGACGUCAAAUCAUCAUGCCCCUUAUGACCUGGGCUACACACGUGCUACAAUGGCUGGUACAACGAGUCGCAAGUCGGUGACGGCAAGCUAAUCUCUUAAAGCCAGUCUCAGUUCGGAUUGUAGGCUGCAACUCGCCUACAUGAAGUCGGAAUCGCUAGUAAUCGCGGAUCAGCACGCCGCGGUGAAUACGUUCCCGGGCCU
rnacentral:rRNA from 1 species